UUGCUCCCUUUGACAGCACAUAUACUAAAAUUGGAAUGAUAUAGAGAAGAUUAGCAUAGUCCCUGCACAAAGAAGACAUGCAAAUUCAUGGAGCAUUCCAUAUUUUU
ensembl:snRNA U6 U6 spliceosomal RNA